rnacentral:ncRNA from 1 species
CAGCUCGUGUUGUGAAAUGUUGGGUUAAGUCCCGCAACGAGCGCAACCCUUAUCCUUGUUUGCCAGCACAUAAUGGUGGGAACUCCAGGGAGACUGCCGGUGAUAAACCGGAGGAAGGUGGGGACGACGUCAAGUCAUCAUGGCCCUUACGAGUAGGGCUACACACGUGCUACAAUGGCAGAUACAGAGGGCAGCGAAGCUGCGAAGUGGAGCGAAUCCCUUAAAGUUUGUCGUAGUCCGGAUUGGAGUCUGCAACUCGACUCCAUGAAGUCGGAAUCGCUAGUAAUCGUGGAUCAGAAUGCCACGGUGAAUACGUUCCCGGGCCUUGUACACACCGCCCGUCACACCAUGGGAGUGGGCUGCACCAGAAGUAGAUAGCUUAACCUUCGGGAGGGCGUUUACCACGGUGUGGUUCAUGACUGGGGUGAAGUCGUAACAAGGUAGCCCUAGGGGAACCUGGGGCUGGAUCACCUCCUUA